CAGGCUUCUUUGCUAAAGAAUGAUGAGACUAAGGCCCUCACUCCAGCUUCCUUGCAGAAGGAAUUAAACAAUUUGUUGAAAUUUAAUCCUGAUUUUGCUGAAGCGCAAGACUCCGUCUCAAAAACAACCCUAAAACCAAAAAACAAAUGUGUAGCUUGUGCAUUGAUUCACACCUGGGAAAGAAACUUACACGUACAGAAUUGAUUAUAAUGACAGAGUGGCUCCUUGAAGUAAUUGUAGGCUUAACUACAAUUUUUGCCAUGAAUUUAAGCUGGCAUUUUUUAGUUGAGC
rnacentral:sRNA from 1 species